rnacentral:sRNA from 1 species
UUCAAGGAAGAGGGAAGAAAGCAGUCACAGCACCACCCAUCCCACCACUGAGAAGAAGUCUAAAUAAGGCCAUAAAGAACUAGGGGAAGGCAAACUAUCAACAGUGAGAAUUCCUGUAGUAAUCUGUGACUGAGACCUACUUACAUAGGAUAAUGUUCAACUAAGUGAAGAUAUCAUUAAAGAAAAAAAUCAUGAUGCAUUAAAAGACAAAGCAAAAGGCAGACUUCACUUGAUGUUGGACUGUGGAUCUCUGCAUCUGCCUCCAUCUGCUUUUGGAGGAAGCUUCUUCGGAAAGAGUCAUGCUAGAUUCCUGUUUUCAGAUCUGCUUUUAAUAGUUCCACUUUGGCGGAGUUAAUGAAGAAUUUGAACAUCUCUACAUCCAGGUGAGGCAAU